CAUGCAAGUCGAACGAUGAGGUCUCUUCGGAGAUCAUCAGUGGCGGACGGGUGAGUAACACGUAGGUUACCUACCUCAAGGUGGGGGAUAACUCCGGGAAACGUGGUGCUAAUACCCCAUAUGUCCUUCGGGAUGAAAGUUUCGGCGCCUUGAGACGGGCCUGCGGCUGAUUAGCUAGUUGGUGGGGUAAAUGCCUACCAAGGCGACGAUCAGUAGCUGGUUCGAGAGGAUGAUCAGCCACAAUGGAACUGAGACACGGUCCAUACUCCUACGGGAGGCAGCAGUAGGGAAUUUUGCGCAAUGGGCGAAAGCCUGACGCAGCAACACCGCGUGUGGGAUGAAGCUUUUCGGAGUGUAAACCACUGUCAGUGGGGACGACUCAAUGACGGUACCCACAAAGGAAGCACCGGCUAACUCCGUGCCAGCAGCCGCGGUAAUACGGAGGGUGCAAGCGUUGUCCGGAAUUAUUGGGCGUAAAGCGUUCGUAGGCGGCAUGCCAAGUCUGAUGUUAAAGCCCGGAGCUCAACUCCGGUUGGGCAUCGGCUACUGGCUAGCCUAGAGUACAGGAGAGGCAAUGGGAAUUCCCAGUGUAGCGGUGAAAUGCGUAGAU
rnacentral:rRNA from 1 species